GAUGAACGCUAGCGGCAGGCUUAACACAUGCAAGUCGAGGGGUAUAGUAGCAAUACUAGAGACCGGCGCACGGGUGCGUAACGCGUAUGCAAUCUACCUUUUGCAGGGGAAUAGCCCAGAGAAAUUUGGAUUAAUGCCCCAUAGUAUAGUGACUCGGCAUCGAGAUACUAUUAAAGUCACAACGGCAAAAGAUGAGCAUGCGUCCCAUUAGCUAGUUGGUAAGGUAACGGCUUACCAAGGCGACGAUGGGUAGGGGUCCUGAGAGGGAGAUCCCCCACACUGGUACUGAGACACGGACCAGACUCCUACGGGAGGCAGCAGUGAGGAAUAUUGGUCAAUGGUCGGAAGACUGAACCAGCCAUGCCGCGUGCAGGAAGAAGCAUCUAUGGUGUGUAAACUGCUUUUGUACGGGAAGAAACACUCCUUCGUGAAGGAGCUUGACGGUACCGUAAGAAUAAGGAUCGGCUAACUCCGUGCCAGCAGCCG
rnacentral:rRNA from 1 species